rnacentral:rRNA from 1 species
UUAAUUGAAGAGUUUGAUCAUGGCUCAGAUUGAACGCUGGCGGCAGGCCUAACACAUGCAAGUCGAGCGGUAACAGAAAGUAGCUUGCUACUUUGCUGACGAGCGGCGGACGGGUGAGUAAUGCUUGGGAACAUGCCUUUAGGUGGGGGACAACAGUUGGAAACGACUGCUAAUACCGCAUAACGUCUACGGACCAAAGGGGGCUUCGGCUCUCGCCUAAAGAUUGGCCCAAGUGGGAUUAGCUAGUUGGUGAGGUAAUGGCUCACCAAGGCAACGAUCCCUAGCUGGUUUGAGAGGAUGAUCAGCCACACUGGAACUGAGACACGGUCCAGACUCCUACGGGAGGCAGCAGUGGGGAAUAUUGCACAAUGGGCGAAAGCCUGAUGCAGCCAUGCCGCGUGUGUGAAGAAGGCCUUCGGGUUGUAAAGCACUUUCAGUCAGGAGGAAAGGUUAGUAGUUAAUACCUGCUAGCUGUGACGUUACUGACAGAAGAAGCACCGGCUAA